UUAGGUUUCUAAUGUAGCAUGAUGAUGAUAGACUUUAUGAGAAGUCAUGUUGUUUGAAGAAAAAGGACUAUACAGUCGACAAGGUUCUUUGCUAACCCGUUGGCUGCUACCCUUGAAUCUCCCUGUUUACUUCCUUACCUUUGAUUUAAGGGUAAUCCUUCGCUACUGAUCACACCCAAUGGUGAAAAACGACGAGAGAAUGCUGUAAUCCAAGACUGAUACAUUGUGUAGUUGAUGGAUAAAUGACAAGUGCAUAUCUGGGCUCCCUUCUUUUCUGUGGCCCCGUUUCCCUAACUGUUCCAGAGAAAAAGAAGGCUUAAUUUAAAUGUAUAUUUUAAUUCAUGUCCCCAUCUUAUUUUUAUUCUGAAGUAUCGAUUAAUUUAAGUAAGCCGCCAGGUGGGCCACUUGUCGUGCAGUAGAAAACAGCUGAUGUCUCAAUUAAGUGUCUUGGCCGAAACAGAAAGUCGCCAUUGUUCAUUUUCAUGGCGUGUAUAGCCACUGAUAACUCGUUUCUUACUGUGCUUUAUUGAUGGGAAUUCUCAUCUUGUGACUCCCUAUUUCUUAUCUGAUUCUCUGAGAUUAGGCUGGAUUAGGCCCUAGAUUUGAUUUCGUGUCAUUUGUGUCUACGAUUGCCUUAU